rnacentral:lncRNA from 1 species
UGCCAGUGAAGAUGUGGGAGCUCAGAAAGGAACUGAUUUUGCAACAUUGCUAAACUAGCAGACUGGAGAGAUGCUCACAAUUCUCAGAUGGUAUGAGUGUUUCUCUGCAUGGGCAUCAGAGCUGCCACUGCUUGGCAUUCCAAGAACUUCCCAGCUACAGGUUCAUCACCUUUUUGGAUGACAUCUCUACUCAUCUGUAAUGGAAGCUGUGUCAAAGGAAACCUUCCUCAGUAGGAAAAAUUUUGAAAAACUCUGGUGGCCUUUGGGUGAUGAAGUUAAUGAUAAUUGCCACCUUUUUUCAUGAAGUUUCUUGAACUUUGACAACUUUAGGAACAAUAAUAGUGAUACUGAUAAUAUGUCAUCUUGUUCUCAUGUUCUGUGAUUCUGAAGAGCAAGAACUGACCACCAUGUACAUCAACUGGAACCUUUCUGGAAUCCACACAGUGUAAUAAUCCUUAGGAAAAGCUAUCUGGGAUUCAGCUGUUACAAUAAGAAGGCCACGAACACUCAACUGGAACCUUUCAUAAUCCCAAUCAAAGGAAAGAUUCAGCUCUUGUCCUGAUUGCAGACUUUGUG